rnacentral:rRNA from 1 species
UACGUAGGGCGCAAGCGUUGUCCGGAAUUAUUGGGCGUAAAGAGCUCGUAGGCGGCUUGUCACGUCGAUUGUGAAAGCCCGAGGCUUAACCUCGGGUCUGCAGUCGGAUACGGGCUAGCUAGAGUGUGGUAGGGGAGAUCGGAAUUCCUGGUGUAGCGGUGAAAUGCGCAGAUAUCAGGAGGAACACCGGUGGCGAAGGCGGAUCUCUGGGCCAUUACUGACGCUGGAGGAGCGAAAGCGUGGGGAGCGAACAGG